rnacentral:lncRNA from 1 species
AGAAGGCAGGUUGGUUCCAAGUUCAACAUCAUCUUCAGCUAUGUAAGGAGGCCAAGGCUGACCUGGGCUAUAUGAGAUCCCGUCUCAACAAAUGAACCAAUGAAUUGUGUACUUGAAAUGGAUAAAUUAUAUUAUAUUUAAAAUAUGUAUGGAGCUGUAAAGAGCUAAUAGUGAAUUUCAAGAUUCUGUUAAUGUUGUUCUGUCCAUAUGUCUUUUGAGUCUUAACUGGUUUAUUUUGUGGUCAUUCUACCUGUUCCCCGAGGCUAGUCUCAAACUUGUGAUCUUCCUGUCUCAGCCUCUUGAAUGCUACUGAGAUUAGAGGUAUGAGCUAACCCUCUAACAAUUUCUGAGUGUUCUUUUAUGUACACUGUCCCGUAAAGGCCUAUACUUUGUCUCUUGGGCUAACAGCUAAAAAGGAAGAAGAUUUAGUUUAGCUCCUGGUUUCAGUCCCUAGUCACUUGGCCCUAUUCCUUCCUGACCCUUAUAUCAUAAGUCAUCAUAGCAGAAGCAUGUGGUAGAACGAAGUGCUGGUAGGCAGAUAGACAAGCUGUAGGACAAGGUAUUCUCCCCAGAGGCAGGCCAGGAGACCAACUUCUUCUUACCAAGCCCUUCAAACCUCUCAAUAAUGUCAUAUUAUGAUUCCAUCAGUGAAUUAAUCCAUUGAUUAUGUCACAUGUUUCAUGAUCCAAAUGCCUUACCAAAACCCCAGCUCUAAAGCAUUGCAAAAAGGGGACAAAAAGUUCACCACAUGGGUUUUGAGAAGCAGAUCUUGAGUCUGGAGCCUUAGAUCACUUAGGAAUCCUGACACCCAACCUAUGAGUUUUAGAACGACACAGUCACAUCUGCUGUGGUUGGAUCAUCAUGAGAUGGUAGGGUUGCUGCCUAAUAUGGGCGCAAAGUAUGCCUGACAUUCAGUGACCUAUGGGAGGAAUCUCUUGGUAUUCAUUAUGUAUCAAACUUGCUAUGUAUCCUAGUUUGGUGCGUGUGAGUGCUGGGAUUACAGAUGAACACCAUUAUGCCCUGGAAGGACACUUACUCUGCUUUGGAUAAACUACCACAUUGGUGGAGCUUUUUGGAAAGGUGUUGCUCCAAGUGAAUGAGUUUCUAGUACUUAUGGGAUGAAAAAUGUUGUAAGUGAAGUUCAAAAUUAUUUAGGGAGAGUAAGACAGUGAAGGUCCUCUUCCUUUCUCUCUGCCCCUGCCCUGCAUGCCCUAACCUCUGCCCCUAGACCCCCUCCUCCUUCCUUACCCUUUACCCUUUUCCAUUGCCAGUUCUCUUUGACUCAGCUAGUGGACAAAGUCUGAUUCUUGUUUGUUUCUGCUUAUGCAGGACUCAAGCAAAGAGCUUCUCAGGAGUUUUGCAACUCCCUCCUGUGUAAAUGCUUACAGAAUUCAUUUUACCAGGGGCAUCUAUAGUUUUUCCACUUGCUCAGAGUCCCAAACACCAAAAAAGGAAUGGAAACUGAUGGAAAGUUGCAGUCCGAGAGCCAUCCUGUUUUGCAGAUCAAAUGACAUGCUAGUAGUAUGUGGUCUGUAUGUUGGUGUAAGUGUUGAAUCCCAAUCCCCAUUAUGCUUUCAGGAGUUGAGUUGAUGUAGCAGUGCCACUUGGUGGUAGGGAACUUCUCUGUGGCCAUGGCAUUUAUCCUCAGCCAUACAGAACAAAAUUAAAUCAAAACAAAAAAGAAGCUGGACAUUGUGACCCUUCUAAUCUACAUCCUUGGGUGGUAGAGACAAGAGGGUUCCUGUGAGUUCAAAGGCAGCCUGAUGUAAACUGUGAGUUUUCAGAUCAUCUAGGGCUACAUAGUAUGACCCUAUCUCAAGUAAAACAAGCAAACAAAAACCAAACGAAAUCACCUGAAUGAACCAAAACCAGGAGCCAGAUAGGACAAAUGCUGGACAAAUAGUCCCAGCACUUGGGAGACUGAGGCAGGAGGAUGGAGUCUAUGUUUUUAUGAUUGUGAAACAGGCCCUUUACUGACUGAGCUAUCUCCCCAACCCCAGAAUUCUUCUUUUUUUCUCAAGUCUUUUUUUUUUUUUUAAAGACAGGGUUUCUCUGUAUAGUCCUGGCUGUCCUGGAACUCACACGGUAGACCAGGCUGGCCUCAAACUCAGAAAUCUGCCUGCCUCUGCCUCCCAAGUGUUGGGAUUAAAGGUGUGCGCCACCACUGCCUGGCUUUUCUUAAGUCUUACAACAUUAUCUGGAUGUGCUUCACUUUAUCCACAUGAGGUUUUAAAGGUGGUGAUAAGAACAUAGAUUACAAAACUACAGUGCUUGUUUGGGGAAUCAUGACCAGCAUUACAUUUUUUGGAUAACCACACACAGACACAUGGGGUAUAUGGGACAUUCCUUACUCCUUUGGCCCACAAACCUCAUUCACAGCAAAUGCCCCCAUUUCUUUGAGUGUGGGGGUAACAUUUUGCAAUGUAAAAGAGCUUGUGAAUGUUGCUGGCAUAUUCUCAGUCACUGAUGGUAGAAGGAUGCUUUUUCUUUCUAUCCUCUUUUUGCUGAUUAAUGGAAUCAAAAUGUUUGAAGUGUUGGGAAUCUUAAAUGAUCAUGUUUUACAAUUCAUGAUAGUCAAGGAGGCAGGCAGAUCUCUUUGAGUUCAGAGCCAUCAGGGCUACAUAUUGAGACCCUAUUUC